AAAUUGAAGAGUUUGAUCAUGGCUCAGAUUGAACGCUGGCGGCAGGCCUAACACAUGCAAGUCGAACGGUAACAGGAAACAGCUUGCUGUUUCGAUGACGAGUGGCGGACGGGUGAGUAAUGUCUGGGAAACUGCCUGAUGGAGGGGGAUAACUACUGGAAACGGUAGCUAAUACCGCAUAACGUCGCAAGACCAAAGAGGGGGACCUUCGGGCC
rnacentral:rRNA from 1 species